CUGAAAAAGCUAGUCGGGAAAGAAAAUAAAUUAGGUUUAAGAAAUACACUCCCACACGCUCUAACUCUCUCAGACAUCUCUGUCUGCCUCUGCUCUCCUCUGGCUCUCUCUGUCUUUCUCCCUCUCUCUCGCUUUUGUCUCCAUCGUUAACGGAGCAUCACCGCCAUCGCACACGAGCACCACCUUCAUUGAUCAAUCCACCAUUGGAGCAUUACCCCAGGUAUGUCCUCUCUAUAGUCUCUAUUCCCCUAAUUUCAGCCUCUAGGGUUUUCUUCUGCCGUUUGCAUACCUUCACCCAAACCCAACCCCAAAUCGACCCAUGUUAAGGUUGAGGCAUUUGUUCAUUCAUUGUCCUUGGAUAUGGAGGAUAUGGGUUGAAUUACUAGAAUGGUGGAAUGUUCACUGGGUUACACCAUAAUCUUUUUCAAAUUUGUCACACUGGGGGUUUGGGUUUAAAUUUGGGAAACUGGAAAAGAAGAUGUGGAGGCCAUGGUUUGGUCAAUUUGGAAGGCUCAUUAAGUAUGUUUGUUUUUUUUCUAACUACUGCUCUUGCUUGUUUGUUUUUCUCUACCUACUGCUCUUACUUGGCCUGUUUCGUCCAUGCUUGUAUUUGUUGUUGUCUUCUGACCCUUUUGCUCACCAUGUGUUUGACAAAAUGUUCAAAUGAAACUGGACAAUUCUCAUGUGUUUGACAUCUGUUUAUGAGUUUUGGUAGUGCCCAGAUUGAAUUUAAUUGUUUUUUUCAAUUACCUGUUCACGAGCUCUUAUUAGGUGCAAUUUCAGUUUGAGAUUGAAUUUCAUUUUUUUUUGAAUGUUUGGGCCUAAUUCAUUUUUUUCAUUUUCAUUUAUGAGCUCUGUACAUCCAGGCACUGCUUUGGGCCUGAUUCGGUUUUUCUCCGCCAGUUGCUUUUCUUCUUUAAUCCACAAAAUGUUGCUGAUUUCUCUGCUCUUGUGGAGACAUGCCGAUUACUUCAAUAGUUUGUUCAAGAAAGUGGCAGUUGCAGCUACAACGAAUGUAGAACUUGGCAACAAAGAAUUAUCCCAAGCCAUUCAAAGAAAUAGCAGAGGGAGGUUGGUUUAUCAGAGCACCAAGAAGAUGGCCAGUGGACCCAAAUGUCCUAUUACUGGAAAGACAAUCCAAGGGGUAUGUAGGCCUCUUGUUUAUUUCAUAAUCCAAGGGAUAUUCUGUAGAGGGAAAACCAACUGUGGGGUUUAUGCUUGUGAACUUCAGGGAGGGUGUGACAGCUGUUGAAGAACCUACGAACUGCCCAAAUGUUUCCAUAUUGCACAUUGCACAUUGCACUUUGAUGAUGAGUUAGUAAACAGUGAAUUUGAGAGGAUGGCUCAAGCAUUUGCUGUGGGACCUUCUGCUAAUUCUCCUUUGCCUCUAACAUCAUUGGUAGUUCAGGUGGAAGGUUUGGAUCUUUCGUCUUUGUGGGGUUGAUUAGUGUUAGAAAUUUGGACUAAUUCUUAUAAUUAUCAAUUAGAGGGAAUAUACUUCCUCAGUGACAUCACAAACUCCAGAAAUAGGGAAUAUACUUCCUCAAGACUCAGGAUCAAUGAUAGCUAACAGACUAACAGUUCAUGAAUAAAACAUUAUUUCUGUACAUGUGAUAAACUUGCUCUUGGGUUCUGGGGUUGGGUUUUAUGUUUCAUUCUACCUGUGUGUUCAUAUUCAGUUGUUUUAUUAGAUGGGCAGUUGUACUCUAUAAUCUGUCUGUUACCAGGAUUCAUGAAAACCUUAGAUUUUAAAGACCCAUCAUGCAAUUGAAAGUUGGGGCAACUAUUAUGACUUGAUGUAUGGAUAGCAGGCACAUAUGAUGUCUUUGAGAUUUAGCUAAGGAGAAUGAACAAACCUUAGCUGUUUGUUGGAUUCUUGUUGCAGCUUUUGAAUGGAAAAAUAAAUGUACAUGUAUGGUGGAACCAUUAUUCAAUCAAUUCUUUUUUUUUUUUUACAUUCUAAGAUUA